rnacentral:rRNA from 1 species
GGGCAACCUGCCUGUAAGACUGGGAUAACUUCGGGAAACCGGAGCUAAUACCGGAUAAUCCUUUUCCUCUCAUGAGGAAAAGCUGAAAGACGGUUUACGCUGUCACUUACAGAUGGGCCCGCGGCGCAUUAGCUAGUUGGUGAGGUAACGGCUCACCAAGGCGACGAUGCGUAGCCGACCUGAGAGGGUGAUCGGCCACACUGGGACUGAGACACGGCCCAGACUCCUACGGGAGGCAGCAGUAGGGAAUCUUCCGCAAUGGACGAAAGUCUGACGGAGCAACGCCGCGUGAGUGAUGAAGGUUUUCGGAUCGUAAAACUCUGUUGUUAGGGAAGAACAAGUACAAGAGUAACUGCUUGUACCUUGACGGUACCUAACCAGAAAGCCACGGCUAACUACGUGCCAGCAGCCGCGGUAAUACGUAGGUGGCAAGCGUUGUCCGGAAUUAUUGGGCGUAAAGCGCGCGCAGGCGGUCCUUUAAGUCUGAUGUGAAAGCCCACGGCUCAACCGUGGAGGGUCAUUGGAAACUG